GGUGAGUAACACGUGGGCAACCUGCCCUGCAGACUGGGAUAACUUCGGGAAACCGGAGCUAAUACCGGAUAACACCGAAAACCGCAUGGUUUUCGGUUGAAAGGCGGCUUUUAGCUGUCACUGCAGGAUGGGCCCGCGGCGCAUUAGCUAGUUGGUGAGGUAACGGCUCACCAAGGCGACGAUGCAUAGCCGACCUGANAGGGUGACCGGCCACACUGGGACUGANACACGGCCCANACUCCUACGGGAGGCAGCAGUAGGGAAUCUUCCGCAAUGGACGAAAGUCUGACGGAGCAACGCCGCGUGAGCGAAGAAGGUCUUCGGAUCGUAAAGCUCUGUUGUCAGGGAAGAACAAGUGCCGUUCGAACAGGGCGGUACCUUGACGGUACCUGACGAGGAAGCCACGGCUAACUACGUGCCAGCAGCCGCGGUAAUACGUAGGUGGCAAGCGUUGUCCGGAAUUAUUGGGCGUAAAGCGCGCGCAGGCGGNUCCUUAAGUCUGAUGUGAAAUCUCGCGGCUCANCCGCGAGCGGCCAUUGNAAACUGGGGGAACUUGAGUGCAGGAGAGGGGAGCGGANUUCCACGUGUAGCGGUGAAAUGCGUAGAGAUGUGGAGGAACACCAGUGGCGAAGGCGGCUCUCUGGCCUGUAACUGACGCUGAGGCGCGAAAGCGUGGGGAGCGAACAGGAUUAGAUACCCUGGUAGUCCACGCC
rnacentral:rRNA from 1 species